AUGUCCUUGUGUUAUUUGCCAGCGGAAUCUCAAUGAGCUGGUGAUUGUCAAAAAGGACAGACAUUAACAUUCUAAAAUCUCGUUAUAAAGUUUUCUUGAAUUAUUGUUGAGAAAAUUUUGUUCCAUAUUUUAGAGACAUUU